rnacentral:tRNA from 1 species
GGUAGAAUGGCUGAGUUAGGCAUUAGACUGUAAAUCUAAAAACAGAGGUGGUCACCUCUUUCUAUCA